GACGAACGCUGGCGGCGUGCUUAACACAUGCAAGUCGAACGGAAAGGCCCCUUCGGGGGUACUCGAGUGGCGAACGGGUGAGUAACACGUGGGUAAUCUGCCCUGCACUUCGGGAUAAGCCUGGGAAACUGGGUCUAAUACCGGAUAGGACCACUUAGCGCAUGCUUUGUGGUGGAAAGCUUUUGCGGUGUGGGAUGGGCCCGCGGCCUAUCAGCUUGUUGGUGGGGUGACGGCCUACCAAGGCGACGACGGGUAGCCGGCCUGAGAGGGUGUCCGGCCACACUGGGACUGAGAUACGGCCCAGACUCCUACGGGAGGCAGCAGUGGGGAAUAUUGCACAAUGGGCGCAAGCCUGAUGCAGCGACGCCGCGUGGGGGAUGACGGCCUUCGGGUUGUAAACCUCUUUCAGCAGGGACGAAGCGCAAGUGACGGUACCUGCAGAAGAAGCACCGGCCAACUACGUGCCAGCCGCCGCCGUAACAC
rnacentral:rRNA from 1 species